ACAGCAAAAUAUAUAUCUAGGGUAUAAGAUCCCAGCUGCAGUCUAUGGAGCUCUUUGUGUAGUCGCUAGAGAGCUGGCUGAUCACAUAAUGCUGGUUCCUCCUCAUUACUGUCUAUUAAAUUUCAGUAAUACAGCUAAGAAUGGAAUUCUUUCCAGGUAUCAUUUUUCCAUGUAAGCAACUGCUAAAGGGAUGUGAUGUGAUUGUGAUGGGAGGAGGAGGAGUUGGUCAAUUCUAUUGGGAAUGGGAGAGGGGUUGUAGUCUAUGAGACAAUCUCUCUUUUCAUAUGUGGACCACACGAUGAAAAUGUUUGAGAACCGCUUGAUCCAACAGUCUAUUUACAACAUCAAUAUCAAAUAGAAACCAUCAUCUAGUUUCCAUUUUAAGGAGUGAGGAUUCAUUAACAGAAAAGUUGCAAGGACAUGCAAAUAGAGUCACUCGGAAGAGAAUUUAUGGUUCAGCUUUAUGAGGGCACAAAGAUGUGAAAUUUGUUAAAUUAUCCGAGCAGUCAAGAAACCAGGAAUACUUCAUUAGGAAUAUUUUCCCAGCUACUGGUUAGAGUGCCUGCUUAUUUGAGCAAGGACACAGCAGCAUAAGUAAAGCACCACAGCUUCUUGUAAAAUGAAAAGUCAAUGUGAUGCUUCAAGCUGGAUCAAGUACUUUGGCACAGGAACCAAACUAGUUGUUUCUGCAGCUGAAGAUCUGGCCCAUGAGUUUUUGCAAAGCUCAUGAACACAGUGAGAAAAAUUAUAUCAAAGUCUUCGACUCCGGCACAAAGGUCAUUGUUUCAAACAUGCAAGCAAAACUUGAUUCCACCAAGAUUCAGGUCCUGACUCCUUCUACUGAACAAGAUGGGAAAGUAUCAGACAUGUGCCUUAUUCAGGAUUUUUACCCAAACGUUAUUAAGGUGACUUGGGAAGACGACGAGAAGAAUACAGAAAAAAAUGCAGUCCAUAAAGAAAUUUGACUCUCGAUAACAAUGAGCAGCUAGCUGACCGUAGCAACAAGAAAUAGCAACAACAAAUAGCAACAAGAAUUAUCACUUCAAAUAUCAACAUGAAAGCAAAGAAGGUUUUGUCCCCACCAAAUCUCCAGACAAACCGUAGUGUCUCAAACCACAGGAGAUUUUAGCCAAAGACCUGAAAACAACACCACGCUUUCCACAGAUAUUACAGACAGUUUCAUACACAGGACAACAUAUUUAAUAUACUUUGUCCUACUCCUGAAAAGCACCAUGUACUACAUCAUCGUACUCUUCUUCAUAUACAGGAUGCAAAGUCCAAUCAAGCACCGGGGAAAAAAACCUUAAACUUCUCCUUAACCUUCCAACGUCAGCAUUUGUCUCUCAAAUUUACUUUGCUUUGCCAUAAGCCUGAGCAUAUGAAACGCCUUGCUCUAAAUAUUAAGACAUUCAUUUCAAAUUUGAUUGUGUUGACUAUUUCUCUAAUUAGCACAGAUGGCUUCUGCUUGAGAGCAAACAGUUUUCUAUGUGACCAUUUUUCCUAUUUUAUUAUUUUAAUUUUGUAACUGUGGAACUUCAAGGGCUGAGGCUACACUCCUUGAUUUCAAUAGGAAUUUUGCAUCACAAAGCAGUGCAGGAUAAUUCACUUAAUCCAGUGGUCUCCAAUCUUUUCGUCUGCCGCCCAUCAAACGAAGGACCGUGGCGGCGGUCGAGCAUCCACCGAAAUGCCACCGAACACCUCUGGAUGACUUCGCUUGUAGAUGGCAAGCAGUGUCAUCCAGAGGCAUUGCCGCCAAAAUGCCGCUGAAUUUCAGCAGCAUUUUGGCGGAUGCUUGACCGCCGGCUAAGACGUAGGCACCCGCGGGCACCGCGUUGGGGACCCCUGACUUAGUCUCUUAACCUGCAAAAACAUCUGUGCACACAAAGAACUUUUUCGAUGUGGAUAGGUCAACUGCAUUCAGUGAAGUCCCAUAAAUAUUUGCAGGAGUGGAGUCCUAAUCUGUAACUUAAAAUAAUUUGUCAUUUCAUUUCUACUAAAUACAUGUAUUUGCUUUAUAAAACAAAAACAGGCUUCUGAAAUAUGACUAAUUUCUUUAAUUCACAGAUUAAUGGAUUUUAAAUAAAAUUCAGCAUUGCAGAA